GCGCAACUGCCAAUUUGGGACGGAAACUUGUUGGAAUUUCUGCCUCUGGUGGAUUUUAAUGGUAGGUUACCGUCGGUGAUAGCUGGCGAGUCUAAGCCGAUCCGGGGGAUGCCACUGUGAUUUAGGGGAACACGAUGUGUUUGGAAAGACCUAGAGGGAGUACAAUGGGACGAAAGCUGUUUUCUGUCAAUGUUUAUGGGAAAAGGAGAAAUCGGAGGAGAGUUUGGGAG